rnacentral:rRNA from 1 species
CAGUCGCCGCGGUAAUACGUAGGUGGCAAGCGUUGUCCGGAUUUAUUGGGCGUAAAGCGAGCGCAGGCGGUCAAUUAAGUCUGAUGUGAAAGCCCCCGGCUCAACCGGGGAGGGUCAUUGGAAACUGGUUGACUUGAGUGCAGAAGAGGAGAGUGGAAUUCCAUGUGUAGCGGUGAAAUGCGUAGAUAUAUGGAGGAACACCAGUGGCGAAGGCGACUCUCUGGUCUGUAACUGACGCUGAGGCUCGAAAGCGUGGGUAGCAAACAGGAUUAGAUACCCCCGUAGUCCCUGUCUCUUAUAC